AUUGAACGCUGGCGGCACGCUUAACACAUGCAAGUCGAACGGCAGCGCGGGUGCUUGCACCUGGCGGCGAGUGGCGGACGGGUGAGUAAUGCUUAGGGAUCUGCCCUAGAGUGGGGGACAACACGAGGAAACUCGUGCUAAUACCGCAUACGCUUUUAAAGUAAAGAUGGCCUCUGAAUAUGCUAUUGCUUUAGGAUGAACCUAAGUCGGAUUAGCUUGUUGGUGGGGUAAAAGCCUACCAAGGCGACGAUCCGUAGCUGGUCUGAGAGGAUGAUCAGCCACACUGGGACUGAGACACGGCCCAGACUCCUACGGGAGGCAGCAGUGGGGAAUAUUGGACAAUGGGGGCAACCCUGAUCCAGCGAUGCCGCGUGUGUGAAGAAGGCCUGCGGGUUGUAAAGCACUUUAGUUGGGGAGGAGAUUAAGUUUAUAAAUAAUGAACUUAUGAGACGUUACCCAAAGAAUAAGCACCGGCUAACUCUG
rnacentral:rRNA from 1 species